CCUACNGGGGAGCAGCAGUAGGGAAUCUUCCACAAUGGACGAAAGUCUGAUGGAGCAACGCCGCGUGAGUGAUGAAGGUUUUCGGAUCGUAAAACUCUGUUGUAAGGGAAGAACAAGUACGUUAGGAAAUGAACGUACCUUGACGGUACCUUAUUAGAAAGCCACGGCUAACUACGUGCCAGCAGCCGCGGUAAUACGUAGGUGGCAAGCGUUGUCCGGAUUUAUUGGGCGUAAAGCGCGCGCAGGUGGUUUCUUAAGUCUGAUGUGAAAUCUCGCGGCUCAACCGCGAGCGGUCAUUGGAAACUGGGGAACUUGAGUGCAGAAGAGGAUAGUGGAAUUCCAAGUGUAGCGGUGAAAUGCGUAGAGAUUUGGAGGAACACCAGUGGCGAAGGCGACUGUCUGGUCUGUAACUGACACUGAGGCGCGAAAGCGUGGGGAGCAAACAGGAUUAGAUACCCUGGUAGUCCACGCCGUAAACGAUGAGUGCUAAGUGUUAGGGGGUUUCCGCCCCUUAGUGCUGCAGCUAACGCAUUAAGCACUCCGCCUGGGGAGUACGACCGCAAGGU
rnacentral:rRNA from 1 species